rnacentral:rRNA from 1 species
UAGGGAAUCUUCCACAAUGGACGCAAGUCUGAUGGAGCAACGCCGCGUGAGUGAAGAAGGUUUUCGGACCGUAAAGCUCUGUUGUUGGUGAAGAAGGAUAGAGGUAGUAACUGGCCUUUAUUUGACGGUAAUCAACCAGAAAGUCGCGGCUAACUACGUGCCAGCAGCCGCGGUAAUACGUAGGUGGCAAGCGUUGUCCGGAUUUAUUGGGCGUAAAGCGAGCGCAGGCGGAAGAAUAAGUCUGAUGUGAAAGCCCUCGGCUUAACCGAGGAAUUGCAUCGGAAACUGUUUUCUUGAGUGCAGAAGAGGAGAGUAGAACUCCAUGUGUAGCGGUGGAAUGCGUAGAUAUAUGGAAGAAUACCAGUGGCGAAGGCGGCUCUCUGGUCUGCAACUGACGCUGAGGCUCGAAAAGCCAUGGGUAGCGAACAGGAUUAGAUAC